rnacentral:piRNA from 1 species
UCCUUCUUGAUUAUGGGAACC